rnacentral:rRNA from 1 species
GAUGAACGCUAGCGGGAGGCUUAACACAUGCAAGUCGUGGGGCAGCAUAGGGUAGCAAUACUCUGAUGGCGACCGGCGCACGGGUGAGUAACGCGUAUGCAACCUACCCAGUACAGGGGGAUAGCCCGGAGAAAUUCGGAUUAAUACCCCAUAAUGAUAUUUUGAGGCAUCUUAGAAUAUUUAAAGCUUCGGCGGUACUGGAUGGGCAUGCGUAAGAUUAGCUAGUUGGUAGGGUAACGGCCUACCAAGGCUCCGAUCUUUAGGGGUCCUGAGAGGGUGAUCCCCCA